rnacentral:lncRNA from 1 species
UCCAAACGUGGAAAUUAGAAUUGGGUUGUUUUCCAGUGGCCCACCAGAGGGCACUCUGCUCUUAGGAGGAAGUUCUGAGGCUGAUGCGCCAGGGGCCCUGACCCCACCAGCCAGACUCCGGCCCCAUCGCUGUCCCCAGGGGCUGGGAUCAGCCACAUCUGGUCAUCUCUAUUUAACUCUCACACCAAGCCAGUAUUUCCCCUGCCCUAAAUCACCCAGAGCCAGGUAGAGACAACUAGGGACGGCCCCUAAGCCCAAGGCCCCCUGGAAUUAUUCCAACUAGCCAGACCCGGGCUGCUUCCCCUGGCCUGCCUUGCACUUCGGGUGGAAACCCCACAAAAGGCUGUGGCCUGUGCUGUUCUGAUCCUUCCUUUCAGCCUCCUGACCAAACUUGGUGCUCCCCCUGUGGCCCCGUGUGUGGUCCUGCGUGUGUGCCAUGCCCUGUUCUCCUGGGAGAUGCAAGUGAUGAAUUCUUUCAGUGUCCUUGGUCGCUCUGUGUUGUCACUCAGUCACCUCCAUCAAUUCAAAUCCUGGGGGUACAUUUUAAAUUUUUUAAAUUGAUGCAUAGUAAUUGUACAUAUUUAUGGGAUACAUAUGAUACUGUGACACAAGCAUACAAUGCAUAGUGAUCAGAUCAAGGUAAUCAGGAUAUCCAUCACCUCGAACAUUUAUCAUUUCACUGUGUUGGGAACGUUUCAAAUCUUCUCUUCUAGCUAUUUUGAAAUAUACAAUAGGCUGGGCAUAGUGGCUCACACCUGUAAUCCCAGCACUCUGGGAGGCCAAGGUGGGAGGAUCACUUGAGCCCAGGAGUCUGAGACCAGUCUGGGCAACAUAGUGAGACUCAGUCUUUACGAAAUGCACAAAUUAGCCAGGCAUGGUAGCAUGCGCCUGUGCUGCCAGCUACUCAGGAGGCUGAGGUGGGAGGAUCACUUGAGCACAGCAGGUCAAGGCUGCAGUGAACUGUGAUGGUGCCACUGCACUCCAGCCGGGGUUACAGAGGGAGACCCUGUCUCAAAAAGAAAAAAAAGGCUGGGCAUGGUGGCUCACGCCUGUAAUCCUAGCACUUUGGGAGGCCAAAGUAGGUAGAUCACCUGAGGUCAGGAGUUCUAGACCAGCUUGGCCAACAUGAUGAAACCCCAUCUUUACUAAAAAUACAAAAAAAUUAGCUGGAUGUGGUGGCUGGCACCUGUAAUCCUAGCUACUCGGGAGGCUGAGGCAGGAGAAUCGCUUGAACCCGGGAGAGGUUGCAGUGAGCCAAGAUUGCACCAUUGCACUCCAGCCUGGGCGAUAAGAGUGAAACUCCAUCUCAAAGAAAGAAAGAAAGAAAGAAAAAGAAAGGAAGGAAGGAAGGAAGGAAGAAAAGAAAGAAAGAAAAAAGAAAUACACAAUAAAUUGUUUACUAUAGUCACCCUACUGUGCAAUCGAACACUGGAAAUUAUUCCUUCUAUCCAGCUGUUUGUUUGUACCCAUUAACCAAUCUCUCCCCAUCACCCCUCUCCCCUAAAUAGAACUACCAUAUGAUCCAGCAAUCCUACUACUGGGUAUUUAUCCAAAGGAAAGGAAAUCAAUAUAUCAAAGGGAUACCUGCACCCCCAUGUUUAUUGCAGCACUAUUCACAAUAGCCAAAAUAUGAAAUCAACCCGUGUCCAUCAAUGGAGUAAUAAAUAAAUAAAUUUGGUACAUGUACACAACAGAGUACGAUUCAGCCAUAAAAAAAGAAGGAAAUCCUGUCAUUUGCAGCAAAAUGGAUGGACAGUCAUUAUGUUAAGUGAAAUAAGCCAGGCACAGAAAGACAAAUAUCUCAUGUUCUCACUCAUAUGUGGGAGCUAAAAAAAGUUUAUCUUCGAAAG